CUCUUUGCUGAGGGAGCAUCGGAUGGAUUUUCUGUGCAUGGAAGGAUCUCUGAUCUCCAUAGAGAAGGAUUUGAAAUGGUAGACAGAAGAAAAGAAAAAAUGGACAUCAUAGACCUCAUCUCAUGCUCCUCCUCAAAUUUGCAGAUGGCACUAAGAUGGCAGGAGCAGCCAACGCCCCAGAAGACCAAUUCAGGAUCCAAAAGAUCUUGGCAGGCUUGAACAAUGGGCGCCAUGCAACGAAGUGAAAUUUGAUGUGGAGAAAAGCAAGGUUUUACACCUGGGCGGGAAAAGCCAAAGUUGCUCAAGAAACUCCUGUCUAUGACCCUCAAUGGAUGAGCUUUCCUUAUUCCAAUUACUUGAGGGGUUUCUCUCCUGCCUUUGGAA